rnacentral:lncRNA from 1 species
GGUAACACAUCUCCAGUGUUAGUCGCGGCCAGUUUGGUUUGCAAUCCAGACAGAUUAGAUCCGUCCGCGGCCACUUGAGUAGACUGACUGGCCGUUCUCUUACUUCUUCGGGACUUUCCCGUUUUGCUUUUUCCAGCUUAAGGAUUCAGACAAUGUUAGUACGAAACAUACUAAACAUAAACAGAACAAAAAAAUUCCUAGACUACGCAAUCAAACCUCACCGUGAGACCUAAUCAGCUGGCUGCGAGUGUGUGGACUACAAAAUGCAACUAUCCUAGAAUCAACCUGGCUCUGAUACCAACUUGUAAGACCCUUCCUGGUCUCUCGACCCAAAUGGAUACGAAUGCUUACUUAUUAAUUUCUUUGCUUGUUUGAUUCAUUUUAAGUCUUUUAUUUACUAAGUCAUAUUCGAAUAUGAGGUUCAUAAACAAAGGAACCGAUUGCACAGCGGAAUAAUAAUGUGUUAACUUUGUAUUACUUAGAAACAUGAGAUCCAAUACACAACUUCUUAACGGUUUCAUAGACAAUCACUAGUUCAUCCCUAGCAUCAUCUAACCACACGUUACAUAGCCUCUCACUGACCGAGCCUUCAUGGCUCCUUGGCUUGACCAGAACCAUCCUUAGUUCCUGAAACCAU